UGAGGAUUGUGCGGUUUAAUUGGAUUCAACGCCGGAAAACUCACCAUAGCCGACGGACAAAUGAAGGCCAGUGUAAUGAACUUGCUGGAUUGUUCGAGAGGUAGUGCAUGGCCGUCGUCAGUUCGUACCGUAAGGCGUUCUGUUAAGUCAGAUAACGAACGAGACCCUCAUCCCUAUUUGCCAAGGUCUGUCCGCAGAUCAAGGGACUAUAGGGAGACCGCUGGCGCGAAGUCAGAGGAAGGCGAGGGCAACGGUAGGUCAGUAUGCUCCGAAUGCUAUGGGCUACACGCGCAAUACAAAGGACGGGACAAUGGGCUGCUGCUCCGAAAGGAACGAUAGCUAUCCCGAAACCCGUUCGUAGUUCGGAUUGAGGGCUGUAACUCGCCCUCAUGAAGCUGGAUUAGGUAGUAAUCGCGUCUCAAAAAGGCGCGGUGAAUAUGCCCCUGCUCCUUGCACACACCGCCCGUCAAACCAUCUUAGUUGUGGGUGGGUGAGGCUACCUCUUCUUGGGGUAUUCGAGCCUGCCUUCGACGAGGAGGGUUAAGUCGUAACAAGGUAUCUGUAGGGGAGCCUGCAGAUG
rnacentral:rRNA from 1 species